GAGGAACGCCGAAGAUCUGGUUUC
rnacentral:siRNA from 1 species